rnacentral:rRNA from 1 species
GUGAGGAAUAUUGCGCAAUGGAGGCAACUCUGACGCAGCCAUGCCGCGUGCAGGAAGAAGGCGCUACGCGUUGUAAACUGCUUUUAACCGGGAAGAAACCCCAGGACGUGUCCUGGGUUGACGGUACCGGAGGAAUAAGCACCGGCUAACUUCGUGCCAGCAGCCGCGGUAAUACGAAGGGUGCAAGCGUUAUCCGGAUUCAUUGGGUUUAAAGGGUGCGUAGGCGGAGCGUUAAGUCAGUGGUGAAAUCCUGCAGCUUAACUGUAGGCUUGCCAUUGAUACUGGCGCUCUUGAGUGCGCUUGAAGUGGGCGGAAUGUGCCGUGUAGCGGUGAAAUGCUUAGAUAUGGCACAGAACACCAAUUGCGAAGGCAGCUCACUAAGGCGAUACUGACGCUGAGGCACGAAAGCGUGGGGAUCGAACAGGAUUAGAAACCCCAGUAGUCC